UACGUAGGGGGCAAGCGUUGUCCGGAAUUAUUGGGCGUAAAGAGCGUGUAGGCGGCCAGAUAAGUCCGCUGUGAAAUCUCGAGGCUCAACUUCGAGCUGUCGGUGGAAACUAUCUGGCUAGAGUCCGGUAGGGGAGUGUGGAAUUCCCGGUGUAGCGGUGAAAUGCGCAGAUAUCGGGAGGAACACCGAUGGCGAAGGCAGCACUCUGGGCCGGUACUGACGCUGAGGAGCGAAAGCGUGGGGAGCGAACAGG
rnacentral:rRNA from 1 species